rnacentral:rRNA from 1 species
UACGGAGGGUGCAAGCGUUAUCCGGAUUCACUGGGUUUAAAGGGUGCGUAGGCGGCUUUAUAAGUCAUUGGUGAAAGCUCGCAGCUUAACUGCGAAACUGCCAUUGAAACUGUAAAGCUUGAAUGUGGUUGAAGUGGGCGGAAUACAACAUGUAGCGGUGAAAUGCUUAGAUAUGUUUUAGAACACCGAUUGCGAAGGCAGCUCACUAAGCCAAUAUUGACGCUGAGGCACGAAAGCGUGGGGAUCAAACAGG